rnacentral:rRNA from 2 species
AGAGUUUGAUCAUGGCUCAGAUUGAACGCUGGCGGCAGGCCUAACACAUGCAAGUCGAACGGUAACAGGAAGCAGCUUGCUGCUUCGCUGACGAGUGGCGGACGGGUGAGUAAUGUCUGGGAAACUGCCUGAUGGAGGGGGAUAACUACUGGAAACGGUGGCUAAUACCGCAUAACGUCGCAAGACCAAAGAGGGGGACCUUCGGGCCUCUUGCCAUCAGAUGUGCCCAGAUGGGAUUAGCUAGUUGGUGAGGUAACGGCUCACCAAGGCGACGAUCCCUAGCUGGUCUGAGAGGAUGACCAGCCACACUGGAACUGAGACACGGUCCAGACUCCUACGGGAGGCAGCAGUGGGGAAUAUUGCACAAUGGGCGCAAGCCUGAUGCAGCCAUGCCGCGUGUAUGAAGAAGGCCUUCGGGUUGUAAAGUACUUUCAGCGGGGAGGAAGGUGUUGUGGUUAAUAACCGCAGCAAUUGACGUUACCCGCAGAAGAAGCACCGGCUAACUCCGUGCCAGCAGCCGCGGUAAUACGGAGGGUGCAAGCGUUAAUCGGAAUUACUGGGCGUAAAGCGCACGCAGGCGGUCUGUCAAGUCGGAUGUGAAAUCCCCGGGCUCAACCUGGGAACUGCAUUCGAAACUGGCAGGCUUGAGUCUUGUAGAGGGGGGUAGAAUUCCAGGUGUAGCGGUGAAAUGCGUAGAGAUCUGGAGGAAUACCGGUGGCGAAGGCGGCCCCCUGGACAAAGACUGACGCUCAGGUGCGAAAGCGUGGGGAGCAAACAGGAUUAGAUACCCUGGUAGUCCACGCCGUAAACGAUGUCUACUUGGAGGUUGUGCCCUUGAGGCGUGGCUUCCGGAGCUAACGCGUUAAGUAGACCGCCUGGGGAGUACGGCCGCAAGGUUAAAACUCAAAUGAAUUGACGGGGGCCCGCACAAGCGGUGGAGCAUGUGGUUUAAUUCGAUGCAACGCGAAGAACCUUACCUGGUCUUGACAUCCACAGAACUUUCCAGAGAUGGAUUGGUGCCUUCGGGAACUGUGAGACAGGUGCUGCAUGGCUGUCGUCAGCUCGUGUUGUGAAAUGUUGGGUUAAGUCCCGCAACGAGCGCAACCCUUAUCCUUUGUUGCCAGCGGUCCGGCCGGGAACUCAAAGGAGACUGCCAGUGAUAAACUGGAGGAAGGUGGGGAUGACGUCAAGUCAUCAUGGCCCUUACGACCAGGGCUACACACGUGCUACAAUGGCGCAUACAAAGAGAAGCGACCUCGCGAGAGCAAGCGGACCUCAUAAAGUGCGUCGUAGUCCGGAUUGGAGUCUGCAACUCGACUCCAUGAAGUCGGAAUCGCUAGUAAUCGUGGAUCAGAAUGCCACGGUGAAUACGUUCCCGGGCCUUGUACACACCGCCCGUCACACCAUGGGAGUGGGUUGCAAAAGAAGUAGGUAGCUUAACCUUCGGGAGGGCGCUUACCACUUUGUGAUUCAUGACUGGGGUGAAGUCGUAACAAGGUAACC